rnacentral:snRNA from 1 species
GCUGCUCGCUUCGGCAGCAAUACCUAAACAUUGGAACAAUACAAGAAGAUUAGCAUGGCCCUGCCGCAGAGGAUGACACGCAAAUUCCGUGAAGCGUUCAUAUUUUUA